rnacentral:rRNA from 1 species
AGAGCGAACGCUGGCGGCAGGCCUAAUACAUGCAAGUCGAGCGGCCACUUCGGUGGCAGCGGCGGACGGGUGAGUAACGCGUGGGAAUGUGCCCUUUGGUACGGAACAACUGAGGGAAACUUCAGCUAAUACCGUAUGUGCCCUUCGGGGGAAAGAUUUAUUGCCAUUGGAGCAGCCCGCGUUGGAUUAGCUAGUUGGUGGGGUAAAGGCCCACCAAGGCGACGAUCCAUAGCUGGUCUGAGAGGAUGAUCAGCCACACUGGGACUGAGACACGGCCCAGACUCCUACGGGAGCAGCAGUAGGGAAUCUGCGCAAUGGGCGAAAGCCUGACGCAGCCAUGCCGCGUGAAUGAUGAAGGUCUUAGGAUUGUAAAAUUCUUCGACCGGGAAGAUAAUGACGGUACCCGGAGAAGAAGCCCGGACUAACUUCGACGCCAGCAGCCG